rnacentral:rRNA from 1 species
AGGUGAAAAGCACCCCGGAAGGGGAGUGAAACAGUUCCUGAAACCGUGUGCCUACAAGUAGUUAGAGCCCGUUAAUGGGUGAUAGCGUGCCUUUUGUAGAAUGAACCGGCGAGUUACGAUUUGUUGCCAGGUUAAGCGGAAAAAGCGGAGCCGUAGCGAAAGCGAGUCUGAAUAGGGCGCAUAAGUAACAGGUCGUAGACC